GGAGGAGGCAGGAGCCCUGGGGGUGAGAAGGGGAGCAGGCGGGGACGGAGAGGGGUCGAGCGGGCGAGGAAGAGCGUGACGAGCCCCCCGGUGCUCACACCCCCACGGCGGAGCUGCUUCUUCCCAGCCUUGUUCCAGCAAAAAUUGCUGCUGUGACUCUUGCUGCACAUUAACUGGGAGGAAAGUAAAAAUCCUGUGACCACCACAGAGACUUUGCCCCUCUUUUCCCUUGCAUUGCAGAGUGAACCUUGAGAAAAGGACACAGGAGACAAGAAACAAGGACAUGGCUGAACCGAGUAAAACCUUAAUAACAACGGCUGCUGUGCUUCUGUCUGAAAAUGUCAUAGAUUGGGCAUUCAGCAGAUAUCGAAGGAGAAAGAAUGAGAAGACCAAAAAAGACAUGGAGUGUAAGAUGGAUGUAGCCUUCCAGGAGCUCAAGAAAAAAAUGGAAGCCUUGCAUGAAUCGUUCACAGAAUUGCAGGACACCAAACAGUCUGAGCUUGAAGGCCUCAGAACACACCUAGAGAAGAACAAAGGAAACAAAGUGGAGGAAAUUGUAUGGUCCGUGAAAUCCAGGCUGAAGAAAUACCUCCGGCAGUUCUCACAUGGAAUUCGAACUCUGGAAGAAAAUAUAGAGGAUUGGUCAGAGACCACAGAGUCUGAGCUUCAGCGUCUCAGACCAGAGCUGCAGAAGACUCAAGAAGAGGUCGAAAUUGUAUGGUCCCUGAAAUCCAGGUUGAAGAAAUACCUCCGGCAGCUCUCACAUGGAAUUCAGAGUCUGAAAGAAAAUGUAGAAGAUUUGUCAGAGACCAUAGAGUAUGAGCUUCAGUGUCUCAGACCAGAGUUGGAGAAGAACAAAGGAAAGAAGGAGGAUGAAAGUUCAAAUUUCUGCAUGGAGACAAAAGUUCCGCAGCUCUCCUAUAGAAUUCAAACUCUGGAUCCAGAGUUACAGGAGAGGUGGGAGUUCCCAAAUCAUGAGCUUCAGUUUGUCACAGCAGGCCUGGAGAACAGCCAAGAACUUUUCCAACCUUUCCAGAUUAAGGACCUGGGGGAAGCACCAGGGGCCUCCACAGGGGACCCACCCCACCAAGACCAGCCCUGCACAUCUCCUUUUCUCCCAACGUCAGCGGAGACGGAGCGGUGGAGCACAGUGACGACCCUCGAGGAGACUUUCUUUAAGUUUGUUAUCCCUCCCUUCAGAGAUCUCUCUUCUACAUCCAUCCACACUGUCCUGGAGUCCACAGCAGAGAAGCAAUCUCUACAAGUAUGACAUAGGAUCGGUUUUCCCAUAGAGGGAAUCGCAGGAAUAGAGGAAUUGCAGUUUCUGAAGGCUACUUUUGUUCACCAGGUGCUUCUGACUUGGACGGAGUCUUUCCAGACGUGAAUCAAAUAUCACAAACACUGUUUUGCUCUCCCUCCUUUCUACGGAACACUUGGUCUUUGUUGGUGUGAAUGAAUAGAACUAGCAAUGUAUCCUAAAGAAUUUUGAUGUUCCAUUGAUGCA